rnacentral:rRNA from 1 species
GAUGAACGCUAGCGGGAGGCCUAACACAUGCAAGUCGAGCGGUAGACCCGCAAGGGAAUAGAGCGGCGCACGGGGUGAGUAACGCGUAUGCAACCUGCCCCGGACAGGGGGAUAGCCCGUUGAAAGACGGAUUAAUACCCCAUAUUUUUAUGAGUUCGCAUGGAUUUAUAAAGAAAGCUAAGGUGGUUCGGGAUGGGCAUGCGUGGCAUUAGCUGGUUGGUGAGGUAACGGCUCACCAAGGCGAUGAUGCCUAGGGGAUCUGAGAGGAUGAUCCCCCACACUGGUACUGAGACACGGACCAGACUCCUACGGGAGGCAGCAGUGGGGAAUCUUGGUCAAUGGGCGAAAGCCUGGAACCAGCGAUGCCGCGUGAGUGAUGAAGGCCUUGGGUUGUAAGCUCUGUGGGAGAGAAGAAAACGAAUUCUGGGCGAAUAGGCCAGGAUCUUGACGGUAGUCUCCUUAGCAAGCACCGGCUAACUCUGUGCCAGCACG